AUUGAACGCUGGCGGCAUGCCUUACACAUGCAAGUCGAACGGUAACAGGUCUUCGGAUGCUGACGAGUGGCGAACGGGUGAGUAAUACAUCGGAACGUGCCCGAUCGUGGGGGAUAACGAGGCGAAAGCUUUGCUAAUACCGCAUACGAUCUACGGAUGAAAGCGGGGGAUCUUCGGACCUCGCGCGGACGGAGCGGCCGAUGGCAGAGUAGGUGGUUGGUGGGAUAAAAGCUUACCAAGACGACGAUCUGUAGCUGGACUGGGAGGCUGAUGAGCGACAUUGGAACGUGGACCCGGCCCUGACUCCUACGGUAGGCCGCAGUGGGGAAUGUUGGGCAAUGGUCGAGAGCCUUAUCCAGCGGUGCCGCGUGCAGGGUGAAGGCCUUCGGGUUGUAAUCUGCUUUUUUGCGUAGCGAAACGCCUCUUUCUGAUAAGGAGGGGUCAUGACGGUACCGUAAGAAUAAGCACCGGCUAACUACGUG
rnacentral:rRNA from 1 species